UUGCACGCUGGCGGCAUGCCUUACACCUGCAAGUCGAACGGCAGCACGGGUGCUUGCACCUGGUGGCGAGUGGCGAACGGGUGAGUAAUACAUCGGAACAUGUCCUGUAGUGGGGGAUAGCCCGGCGAAAGCCGGAUUAAUACCGCAUACGAUCUACGGAUGAAAGCGGGGGACCUUCGGGCCUCGCGCUAUAGGGUUGGCCGAUGGCUGAUUAGCUAGUUGGUGGGGUAAAGGCCUACCAAGGCGACGAUCAGUAGCUGGUCUGAGAGGACGACCAGCCACACUGGGACUGAGACACGGCCCAGACUCCUACGGGAGGCAGCAGUGGGGAAUUUUGGACAAUGGGCGAAAGCCUGAUCCAGCAAUGCCGCGUGUGUGAAGAAGGCCUUCGGGUUGUAAAGCACUUUUGUCCGGAAAGAAAUCCUUGGCCCUAAUACGGUCGGGGGAUGACGGUACCGGAAGAAUAAGCACCGGCUAACUACGUG
rnacentral:rRNA from 1 species